rnacentral:rRNA from 1 species
UAGGGAAUCUUCCACAAUGGACGAAAGUCUGAUGGAGCAACGCCGCGUGAGUGAAGAAGGGUUUCGGCUCGUAAAGCUCUGUUGGUAGUGAAGAAAGAUAGAGGUAGUAACUGGCCUUUUAUUUGACGGUAAUUACUUAGAAAGUCACGGCUAACUACGUGCC